UACAGAGGGUGCGAGCGUUAAUCGGAAUUACUGGGCGUAAAGCGUGCGUAGACGGUUAUUUAAGUCGGGUGUGAAAGCCCCGGGCUCAACCUGGGAAUUGCAUUCGAGACUGAAUAGCUAGGGUGCGGUAGAGGGAAGCGGAAUUUCCGGUGUAGCGGUGAAAUGCGUAGAUAUCUGGAGGAACACCGGUGGCGAAGGCGGCAUCCUGGACCAACACUGACACUGAAAAGCGAAAGCCAGGGGAGCAAACGGG
rnacentral:rRNA from 1 species